rnacentral:rRNA from 1 species
GAUGAACGCUGGCGGCGUGCCUAAUACAUGCAAGUCGAGCGAACAGACGAGGAGCUUGCUCCUCUGACGUUAGCGGCGGACGGGUGAGUAACACGUGGAUAACCUACCUAUAAGACUGGGAUAACUUCGGGAAACCGGAGCUAAUACCGGGUAAUAUAUUGAACCGCAUGGUUCAAUAGUGAAAGACGGUUUUGCUGUCACUUAUAGAUGGAUCCGCGCCGCAUUAGCUAGUUGGUAAGGUAACGGCUUACCAAGGCAACGAUGCGUAGCCGACCUGAGAGGGUGAUCGGCCACACUGGAGCUGGGACGCGGUCCAGACUCCUACGGGAGGCAGCAGUAGGGAAUCUUCCGCAAUAGGCGAAAGCCUGACGGAGCAACGCCGCGUGAGUGAUGAAGGUCUUCGGAUCGUAAAACUCUGUUAUUAGGGAAGAACAAAUGUGUAAGUAACUAUGCACGUCUUGACGGUACCUAAUCAGAAAGCCACGGCUAACUACGUG